UACGUAGGGGGCAAGCGUUGUCCGGAAUCAUUGGGCGUAAAGAGCGCGUAGGCGGUUUGUCGCGUCUGCUGUGAAAACCCGAGGCUCAACCUCGGGCCUGCAGUGGGUACGGGCAGACUAGAGUGCGGUAGGGGAGAGUGGAAUUCCUGGUGUAGCGGUGGAAUGCGUAGAGAUCCGGAAGAACACCAGUGGCGAAGGCGGCCCGCUGGGCAGUGGCUGACGCUGAGGCGGCAACAGCGUGGGGAGCAAACAGG
rnacentral:rRNA from 1 species